rnacentral:rRNA from 1 species
GACGAACGCUGGCGGCGUGCCUAAUACAUGCCAGUAGAACGCACAGUUUAUACCGUAGCUUGCUACACCAUAGACUGUGAGUUGCGAACGGGUGAGUAACGCGUAGGUAACCUGCCUGGUAGCGGGGGAUAACUAUUGGAAACGAUAGCUAAUACCGCAUAAUAUUAAUUAUUGCAUGAUAAUUAAUUGAAAGGUGCAAUUGCACCACUACCAGAUGGACCUGCGUUGUAUUAGCUAGUAGGUGAGGUAACGGCUCACCUAGGCGACGAUACAUAGCCGACCUGAGAGGGUGGUCGGCCAAACUGGGAAUGAGAAACGGCCCAGACUCCUACGGGAGGCAGCAGGAGGGAAUCUUCGGCAAUGGACGAAAGGCUGAACGAGCAACGCCGGGGGGGGGAAGAAGGUUUUCGGAUCGUAAAGCUCUGUUGUAAGAGAAGAACGGGUGUGAGAGUGGAAAGUUCACACUGUGACGGUAUCUUAACAGAAAGGGACGGCUAACUACGUG